rnacentral:rRNA from 1 species
UACGUAGGGUGCAAGCGUUAAUCGGAAUUCUGGCGUAAGCGUGCGCAGGCGGUUUUGUAAGUCAGAUGUGAAAUCCCCGGGCUUAACCUGGGAACUGCGUUUGAAACUACAAGGCUAGAGUGUGGCAGAGGGGGGUGGAAUUCCACGUGUAGCAGUGAAAUGCGUAGAGAUGUGGAGGAACACCGAUGGCGAAGGCAGCCCCCUGGGUCAAGCACGUGACGCUCGAUGCACGAAAGCGUGGGGAGCGAAACAGG